rfam:Hyaloperonospora arabidopsidis Emoy2 Contig648.0, whole genome shotgun sequence.
UUGAAAUGAUGUCGACAAGAUAAUCCAACUCUGAAACCUAUGUGUAGAAUAAAAACUUAAGCUUUUUAACACUGAUCAAU